UAUUAUAAAAAAUCUUGAAAACUUCAAUUUUUCUUUUUUUAAGGAAAGAAUCAUAUCUAUUAUAAAAGUUGCCCGGAAUUAUGAAGCACCUCAAUAACGUAGAACUUGAAUGUACAAUACUUAGAGCACAUCUAGAUAUGCUUUAGCAAAACUGUUAAAAAUCAAUUUGUUGGUUGUUCAUUAGUAGUACAAUCUAAGAGCUAGAAAGCAUGGACACGGCAGGAAUUGCCGAUCUGCCGUUCUGAUACGGCGGGAUACGGGGACACGGCGGGAUACGGCAGGAUACGCGUGUCCCCCAGUAUCCCCUGAUUUUCGAUUAAAAAUAAAGAAAAAAAUGAGGGGAUACGGUGGGAUACGUCCGUGACACGGUUGGGAUACGGCCUGGCCCAAUAACAGGCCCAAAACGAAACCCUAUGUUUUACAUGAGUCGCACGCAUCUCUUCCACACAAAAGCGAUGUGCUCCCAGGUAGCAGCCUCUCCUGGAUCGAAGCCGCCACCUCCUGGAUCGAAGCCACCGCCGCCUGGACUCAACGCCGCCGCCAGCGGCGACACCUGCACUCGACCGACGACUGCUACCCCACAGCACCAGCAGGCAGCAGCCUCUCCUCCCAACGGCAGGUUGCAUGGCAUGGGGGGAUGAGGAUCAAUCAAGGACUUGAUAAAAAGAGACAUCAAAUGGGGCAGGAUUCUCUAUUUUGAUUUCUUUCUCAUUAAUUUUCUGUCUUAACUCUAUAUUACAUGGCAUAUUUUUAUUUUAUUUUAUAUAUACUCGCCGUAUCCCCGAAUGGCUGUUUCUGAAAAAUGCCGUAUCCCGUAUCCCCGUAUGCGUAUCCCCGUCUUUCCGUCCCCGUGUCCGUGCUUUUUAGUCUAAGAGCACCCUUAACAGAUCCUCGAUAUGGUUUUAGAGGAGCAAAAUAAAGAGUUAACUGCAUCUAAUCGAUCCCUUAGAGGCAGAAAAUUGUAAUCCUUUUAAGUUUACCCCAGUGCCCAACUCUUCUAUUUUCACUCCUCCGCGACACUGCUGCUUAAAAACUUUCAGUACCUUUUCUCACGUCCGCCGCUACCGGAACCCACGUCGCCAAGAGGAGAAAGAACAGAGCUCCAGGAAUCUGAAGAAACAACGCCGGCAACUCGAGGAGAGAUGAGCAGGCAAUGUUGUUGAACCUAAAACAAGGAAACGGGAACCAAGAUCUGGAUAGAAUCCAAAAUCCGAGCCAUGAGCCCAGACCUGGAACCAAUAUCUCUGUUCUAAUUUCUGCCGCUUCUUCUCCCUCUGAAUCAAACUUUUUUUUUGAUCUCUCGACCCCAAGAAGAAACUUUAUUCACUGGCACGAGGAAGAAGAAACGGAAGAAGCAAAAGAUCGGGGAAUGGUUUCUUAACAAGCUCGACUCGGACGCAUAACAAGAUGGGAUACAUAACAUAACCAUCGGAAAUCCACCGGGAGGACACACAUCAGGCGGCCAAACCCCCACCUUCCUGCCGCUCGAAGAAAUCGAUCACGUCGCCGUCCUCCAUCUCGAGCUCCGCCGGCGUGCGCCAGCCGACCACGUGGACGGCGUCGUAAUGGAAGGUGCCGGUCCCGUACUCGACGUCGGGGACCUGGCUGUGUCCAUGACGGCCUGGAGCUUGUCCAUCAUCCUGAUGGCGUGGCGGAUCAGGUUCUGCUUCUGGUCCACCACCUUGAGCGUCACGAACAGGGGCGCCACCGCCGCCUUGGAGUCCUCCUGCUCCUCCUCCCUGGUCGGCGACGCCAUAGCUUCAGAGUUCAGACUUCUUCUUUUUCGUUACGCCGCCACGCCGAUUUUUCGUUAUGCGACGAGGGAGGGCUAGGGCGUCUGAUUAUAAAUAAACUAGUCAUAAACCCGUGCACCGGCACGGGCUAGCAUUUCGUGUGUGCAUACAUUCUACUUGGCGCUUCUAAAAUAUAUAUUUUAUUGUACCUUUUCAGUUUAUACUAUCGUAUGUGGCAUGCUUUUUCAUGCUGGCUAAUGAGCGACAACUAUAGAGCAGCUAUGACACCCGUUAACUAUUUCUUGCAAACUGCGAUGAAAUGGCCCAUUAUGGGAUACUUUCUGAUGUUUCUAUGUCAGACACGUUUAUUUUCUUUCCAUCACUUACAUGCAACCACAGUUCAAGCGUGAAGUACAAAAACAGGUUAUGUUUCAAAAAUUAAAAAAACUGGAUCAUAUAGAUCAUAAACCAUGCUUAUCGAAUUAGGCUAUUACUAUUGAAUCCGGGCAAUCCAUAGACUGGAAUUACAAUUAGCUGGCUUAGUUUUGUGUUUUCUCUAGGAUCGAUGAGAGGUCUAGAAUUGGCAUUGUAGUCUACUUUGGUGUUAAUCACUAAGAUACACCACAAAAUGAGUUGACAGUAAUUGCAUGCUUCAACAACCUUACUAUAGUACAUAUCACUUACAAAUGAAUGAAAUAAAAGCUACGCUGCAAUAUUUGAAAUGAACUACACCUUUGCAAGUUUCUCAGUUUGACAUUGCUAGAAAUGGAUGAAAGUCUGGAUCUUGCAAUCCAAUACUAAAUUCAGACUAUGAAUGUCUCUGGCUAAAACAGAUUUGUUAGAGAUGUUCCGAUGUGGGUAAAUUUGAUAUGCGGGCUACAUAUCAUAAACUAAAACUUUACACUAACGAAUUUGCCAUGCCAGAAUAGUCAAUUUGAGUUUUUGUGAACCCCCUCUAUUAUCAUUGCAAAGGCUAUAAUUCUACUUCACAAAUAAGGAACAAAUUGGCACAAAAUCUCCAUCACUCGAGUUUGAAGGCAGAUCAUCUUCCAAUUGGUAAUUUAAUCAGAUAAAGAUGUUAUAUGUAGAUCCUCGACACUAUUCUUAGACAAUACGAAGAACAAAGAUUUCCCAAUUUAAGUUACCUGAUAGUAAUAACCUUAAAGGGUGAACAAAUAGGGAAAAUGGUUUGAGGCAAUAAAAAUUACAAUGCAGGUGAAUCCUUCUUAAAACAUAGGUGUAGUUAGGCACUGCGAUAGAUAAAAUUUUCUAAAGCAAUAGGUGAAUCAAAUCAUUGCAUGAACUGUUGAACAAAGGGGUCUUGUGAAUAACUUGUUGCUAGAUGCAAAUAACAUGGCUAGCUAACAACCUUCUCAAAGGAACAAAUGGCUAAAUUGUUUCUAUCAUGUCCUUAAGAACAAUUUAUUGAUCCCUUUCACUCGGUGUUGGAAGAGAAAAACACAAAUCAACCAAGAGACCAAUCAGUUCCAUACCAUAAAAAUGGAGAACCUAGUCAAACCUGAAAGAUUGUACUUAUUUUUACUGUGGUAUUAAUUUCACCCAAAUCGUGGAAUAUAUUUCUCGUAAAUUUGUACAGCGUAUUUUCACCAUUGUCCAGUUCACUAAGAUUAUUUUACUGACAUAGAGGCCCAUGAUUAUUGUACAUGACCUCUAAAGCAACAUAGGAGAAAAAAAUGUUGUUGUCCCUUUUUAGUGAAAAAUCAUAUAAAAACACAAUUAGGACUUUUCUUCUUUGAUUGAGAUAAUCAUUUUUUGGUCCCUUAGUUCUGGCGUCUGGUUACUACCCAUGCUUAAAAACAUAGAAAAUAUCAUCAAGCAUUUGAAACAUUUUACUUGCGAAAACCUAAGAAUACUUUUGGAAAAACACCUCGUCUCCUACUGUGUGAGCUAAACUCAAUUCUUGGUAACCGAAGACUAAACUGUUCAUAUAACAUGUUAGUACAGCAUCAUAAUUGCACAUAAACUGCUAUUUAGUAUUCCUCAGUAUACAGUAAAAACAUUAACACAACCUCUGAUGCAUAUAUGUAGGGUGCAGUAAAUAGGAACUGUAAAUAAGAUAACCACAGCAAUAAUGUUCGUUCAUUGCAAACUUUGAACUGUACCCAAAGGAUUCACAACAUGUAGAAUGCGGUGGUUCCGGUUGCAGAAGCUGAAUGUUCAGGUUACACUAUUUAGCACAUGGUCAUCUAGGCACGUUUUGUACUGCUUCAUCUAGGGAAGCUGGUCGUAAGUAGUUAGAGACUGACUAUGUACUCACUCUCCUCACGAACAAAAAGUACAUCUUCAAGCAUGAGCUGUUAGGAUGUACAUGGACAAAAUGAAAUUGUAAUAAGUGAUCGUGAGUGGGUUUGCUUUAUGAUCUGAAGUUCUGAUAAAACAAAAGCUCAUUGAAGUUUCUACAUAAAUUGGUUUUUACCAUGAACGGGUAAUGCAUUGCCUAAAAGGAUGUACCAAAAAGCUCGAACACAAAUUACAAUUCCGUUUAGUAUUAGAAGAGCUACAAAAUCAUAGCCAUAAGAUAAAAAUGCACUGCCUAAAAGGAUGUAAUGCAUUACGAACAAAUGUAGAUGUGAUAUUUCUGUCGGGAUAUAAUUUUACUACCAGAUUUUCCUGCACUCUUGCUAUUCUGUUGUAUCUAAAAAGUUGAUCAGUGCAUGCAAUUAUUCUUUACUGAAAUUACGACAACUGCCUUGCAGGUAUAAAAAGCAGGAGAUGCAUCAUUAAGUUGGGAAGAAUAAACUCACCAGUUGAGCGAUUGUGCCUCAUAUAAGAAUGUCAAGCAAAGGAAUAGUUGUCAUUGACAUUACCAGAUACAAAAAUACACUCGCCAGUAAACAAAAUUCAGAAUUAUGUGAAGUUUUAUUUAUUGCAAAUUAACUUGCCAUACUAUAUAGAAGUUGAAAAGAUGUGUUGUAAUUAUCCAGAAUUGAUGUUCAAUUAGCUAUCUGGUUAGAUAAUUUUAUCCA